AAAAAUUGCCUUUAAAAUGAUGGUCCAAUUUUACAUUGUAGAUUAAUAUAGAUCAUUAUUAAAUGCUUAAAAAGUCAUAAACUCAUAAAUAAUUCAUCAUAUCAUAAACAAUAAUUAUGAAUUAAUUAACAAACUCCCAUAGUCUUAUUCUUCUUUUUAUCAGCAACAAACUUCUUCCAUGCUUCAGUAACCUGUAACUCCCAUUCUCUAUCCGUUUUAUGAUGUGCCACGCUGUCGAUACCGUUCGCCGCGGCCGCCUCCUCGGCCACGGCGAGCUUAGCUUUGACACGUGCUGGAAGCAUGUCGAGCUCAUGGAGGACUUUAACGAUGUCCAUAACCAGUCGCUCCGCGAGUGUUCUAGAGAAAUCUUCUCUAAUAACAACUCUAAGAACUGUGAUGUGUUGAGCAUCUGGUGGCAUAGUGUAUGCUGGAACAAUCCAUCCAAAUCUCCUUAAAGUUUCAGAAAUUUCAAACUCAUCAUGUUUGCUAUUGUCUUUAAGAGAAAAUGCAACCAAGGGAACUCCAACUUCUUUGGAGACUAUCUCAAAUCUUCCUGUCUUUUCGAGUCCUUCUCUUAGUACCCUUGCAUUUUCUUGACAAUUCUCCAUAACAUUCUUGUAACCCUCAUAACCCAAACGAAUAAGUUGAUAAUAUUGAGCAAUUACUUGACUUGAUCCUUUAGAGAAAUUGAGGGUGAAAGUAGGUUGAUCAGCACCAAGAUAAUUAAUAUGAAAAAUAAGUUCAUCAGGCAAGUCUUCUUUGUUCCUCCAAAUGACCCAACCAAUACCAGCAUAAACAAGACCAUAUUUGUGACCACUCACAUUUAUACUUUUAACUAAUGGCAAUCUAAAGUCCCAUUCAAGUUCUGGAUAUAUAAAUGGUGCAAUAAAUCCACCACUAGCUGCAUCCACAUGAAUUGGAGUGUCCCACCCUGUUUCUUUGUUCUUCUCAAUCAAGAGGUCAUUCAAUUUCUUUACAUCUUCAAAUUCUCCAUU
rnacentral:misc_RNA from 1 species